rnacentral:rRNA from 1 species
AUUGAACGCUGGCGGCAGGCCUAACACAUGCAAGUCGAACGGUAACAGGAAGAAGCUUGCUUCUUUGCUGACGAGUGGCGGACGGGUGAGUAAUGUCUGGGAAACUGCCUGAUGGAGGGGGAUAACUACUGGAAACGGUAGCUAAUACCGCAUAACGUCGCAAGACCAAAGAGGGGGACCUUCGGGCCUCUUGCCAUCGGAUGUGCCCAGAUGGGAUUAGCUAGUAGGUGGGGUAACGGCUCACCUAGGCGACGAUCCCUAGCUGGUCUGAGAGGAUGACCAGCCACACUGGAACUGAGACACGGUCCAGACUCCUACGGGAGGCAGCAGUGGGGAAUAUUGCACAAUGGGCGCAAGCCUGAUGCAGCCAUGCCGCGUGUAUGAAGAAGGCCUUCGGGUUGUAAAGUACUUUCAGCGGGGAGGAAGGGAGUAAAGUUAAUACCUUUGCUCAUUGACGUUACCCGCAGAAGAAGCACCGGCUAACUCCGUGCCAGCAGCCGCGGUAAUACGGAGGGUGCGAGCGUUAAUCGGAAUUACUGGGCGUAAAGCGCACGCAGGCGGUUUGUUAAGUCAGAUGUGAAAUCCCCGGGCUCAACCUGGGAACUGCAUCUGAUACUGGCAAGCUUGAGUCUCGUAGAGGGGGGUAGAAUUCCAGGUGUAGCGGUGAAAUGCGUAGAGAUCUGGAGGAAUACCGGUGGCGAAGGCGGCCCCCUGGACGAAGACUGACGCUCAGGUGCGAAAGCGUGGGGAGCAAACAGGAUUAGAUACCCUGGUAGUCCACGCCGUAAACGGUGUCGACUUGGAGGUUGUGCCCUUGAGGCGUGGCUUCCGGAGCUAACGCGUUAAGUCGACCGCCUGGGGAGUACGGCCGCAAGGUUAAAACUCAAAUGAAUUGACGGGGGCCCGCACAAGCGGUGGAGCAUGUGGUUUAAUUCGAUGCAACGCGAAGAACCUUACCUGGUCUUGACAUCCACGGAAGUUUUCAGAGAUGAGAAUGUGCCUUCGGGAACCGUGAGACAGGUGCUGCAUGGCUGUCGUCAGCUCGUGUUGUGAAAUGUUGGGUUAAGUCCCGCAACGAGCGCAACCCUUAUCCUUUGUUGCCAGCGGUCCGGCCGGGAACUCAAAGGAGACUGCCAGUGAUAAACUGGAGGAAGGUGGGGAUGACGUCAAGUCAUCAUGGCCCUUACGACCAGGGCUACACACGUGCUACAAUGGCGCAUACAAAGAGAAGCGACCUCGCGAGAGCAAGCGGACCUCAUAAAGUGCGUCGUAGUCCGGAUUGGAGUCUGCAACUCGACUCCAUGAAGUCGGAAUCGCUAGUAAUCGUGGAUCAGAAUGCCACGGUGAAUACGUUCCCGGGCCU